rnacentral:lncRNA from 1 species
UCUUCUUCCAAGAAUCCUGAAAAAUAAAACAAAGGAAACAAGAAAAAUAUAAGUCAAUAUAUAACAAAUUAAAUAUAUUAUAAAAGUAAAAAAUAUAUCCAAUAAUUAAUUAUUAAUAAAAUCACGUGUAUAUGCAUGUGGUGUUUAAAAUAUGCACACAAUUAUGAUAACUCAUAAUUGAGACAAUUAAACUCUUAAUUAAGGCACAAUUAAUAAAAUAUUAACGCCCUUAAUUAAGACACAAUUAACACCCUCAAUUAUGAGGCACACUUUACGCCCUCAAUUAUGAGGCACCAUUAACGCCCUCAAUUAUGAGGCACAAAUAAAGCCCUCAAUUAAGAGGCACAAAUAACGCCAUCAAUUAUGAGGCACAAUUAACGCAUCAAUUAGCGCCUUCCUUUCUGAAACCGAAUCCUAUACUGACCGUGCUGCAACCCUCGGCCACCACUGCUACCACCGCCACGUUAUCUUUUCCGCACACGACCGCCAAAAAGACGCUACCACCGCCACACUAUCUCUUCCGCACACGACCGCCAAGAGAGGACGAUGACCACCCGAAAUAUAUCCAUCUCCAUGUAAAUACAUGUUCCAUGUCAGUUUAUUUUAUUUCGUAGUCCAAACCACCCAAGAACACCAAAAAUCAAAAAACACCCAGAUGAAGAAACCAACGAAUCCCCAAUGGAACGAACUGGAUCCCUUCAUCUUGUCCAAAAUAUUUUCUCAUCUGAACCUCGAAAACCAGCUUCGUGGCCCUCCAUUCGUGUGUCAUUCGGUGGCUCUCCGCCUCACUACACACUGUUUUCAACCACCCGAAUCUUUAUCUUCGCUCAUUACAAAGCCUCGACGAUGAUGAUCAGUAACAACUCACAAGAUACACUCACCUUAUCAAACUAGCCAUCAAGCACAAAAAUCACAUGGGAAUAGAUCAGGAAGGGGGUGUGUAUGUCCCGAAAGAAUACAAAAUCUGGGAAAAAAAGAACGAGAGAAAGGAGAGAUUGAGAGAGAGAGGGCUCUAACAUCAACUCAUCAUUAUAUAUUCUCU